rnacentral:rRNA from 1 species
UACGUAGGGGGCUAGCGUUGUCCGGAAUCAUUGGGCGUAAAGAGCGCGUAGGCGGCCAGAUAAGUCCGGUGUGAAAGUCACAGGCUCAACCUGUGAAUGCCGCUGGAAACUUUCUGGCUAGAGUCCGGAAGAGGAGAAUGGAAUUCCUGGUGUAGCGGUGAAAUGCGCAGAUAUCAGGAAGAACACCCGUGGCGAAGGCGGUUCUCUGGGACGGUACUGACGCUGAGACGCGAAAGCGUGGGGAGCGAACAGG